rnacentral:rRNA from 1 species
UACGUAGGGUGCAAGCGUUAAUCGGAAUUACUGGGCGUAAAGCGUGCGCAGGCGGUUAUGUAAGACAGAGGUGAAAUCCCCGGGCUCAACCUGGGAACUGCCUUUGUGACUGCAAGGCUUGAGUGCGGCAGAGGGGGAUGGAAUUCCGCGUGUAGCAGUGAAAUGCGUAGAUAUGCGGAGGAACACCGAUGGCGAAGGCAACCCCCUGGGCCUGCACUGACGCUCAUGCACGAAAGCGUGGGGAGCAAACAGG